rnacentral:rRNA from 1 species
UGCAAGUCGAGCGGAUGAGUGGAGCUUGCUCCAUGAUUCAGCGGCGGACGGGUGAGUAAUGCCUAGGAAUCUGCCUGGUAGUGGGGGACAACGUUUCGAAAGGAACGCUAAUACCGCAUACGUCCUACGGGAGAAAGUGGGGGAUCUUCGGACCUCACGCUAUCAGAUGAGCCUAGGUCGGAUUAGCUAGUUGGUGAGGUAAAGGCUCACCAAGGCGACGAUCCGUAACUGGUCUGAGAGGAUGAUCAGUCACACUGGAACUGAGACACGGUCCAGACUCCUACGGGAGGCAGCAGUGGGGAAUAUUGGACAAUGGGCGAAAGCCUGAUCCAGCCAUGCCGCGUGUGUGAAGAAGGUCUUCGGAUUGUAAAGCACUUUAAGUUGGGAGGAAGGGCAGUAAGUUAAUACCUUGCUGUUUUGACGUUACCAACAGAAUAAGCACCGGCUAACUUCGUGCCAGCAGCCGCGGUAAUACGAAGGGUGCAAGCGUUAAUCGGAAUUACUGGGCGUAAAGCGCGCGUAGGUGGUUCGUUAAGUUGGAUGUGAAAGCCCCGGGCUCAACCUGGGAACUGCAUCCAAAACUGGCGAGCUAGAGUAUGGCAGAGGGUGGUGGAAUUUCCUGUGUAGCGGUGAAAUGCGUAGAUAUAGGAAGGAACACCAGUGGCGAAGGCGACCACCUGGGCUAAUACUGACACUGAGGUGCGA